UACGUAGGGGGGCGAGCGUUGUCCGGAUUUAUUGGGCGUAAAGAGCGUGUAGGCGGCCAGGUAGGUCUGCUGUGAAAACUCGAGGCUCAACCUCGAGACGUCGGCGGAAACCAUCUGGCUAGAGUCCGGAAGAGGCGAGUGGAAUUCCCGGUGUAGCGGUGAAAUGCGCAGAUAUCGGGAGGAACACCAAUGGCGAAGGCAGCUCGCUGGGACGUUACUGACGCUGAGACGCGAAAGCGUGGGGAGCAAACAGG
rnacentral:rRNA from 1 species